rnacentral:sRNA from 1 species
AGGCGGGCACAGCGGCGAAGUUCUGCGCGGGCGCGGAAGACGGGCGGCGCGUGGCGGAAGGCAGGCUUGCUCCUCGGGGUGGGGGAGGGUAUCCGGCUUAAGGGGGCUGCGGUGGACGCCACUUCUUAAUGUCGGGGGUCUUCGCGGCGCUCACCUCGGCUCCUAGGGUUCGGGACGGUACGCACCAGCCACCUUCGCGCCGAAGGCGGUAGGGCGCCACGGAGAGGAACCGCUCUAGGCACGUAAGGCCUCGUGAGGUUGCGUCGCGCGCGGAGCACUCUGGGACUUGUAGUUCUGGAGAUGGAGCGAGCUGUGCCGCUCGCGGUGCCUCUGGGUCAGACAGAGGUGUUCCAGGCCUUGCAGCGGCUCCAUAUGACCAUCUUCUCCCAGAGCGUCUCACCAUGUGGGAAGUUUCUGGCGGCUGGCAACAAUUACGGGCAGAUUGCCAUCUUCAGCUUGUCCGCUGCUUUGAGCUCAGAAGCCAAAGAGGAAAGUAAGAAGCCGGUGGUGACUUUCCAAGGUGGGUAUAGCUGUGGAGUCUGGCUUCGGGACUUUGGGUGGGAUUGACUCACUCAGUUCUGCAUUUCUCUUUAGCCCAUGAUGGGCCCGUCUAUAGCAUGGUUUCCACCGAUCGACAUCUGCUUAGUGCUGGGGAUGGGGAGGUGAAGGCCUGGCUUUGGGCGGAGAUGCUCAAGAAGGGCUGUAAGGAGCUGUGGCGUCGUCAGCCUCCAUACAGGUGAGCAGGGCCACGUGGAUAGAGGGUGCAUCAGGGUGAAGCCACUUCCUCACUGACCUUGCCUUUCCUUCCCCAGGACCAGCCUGGAAGUGCCUGAGAUCAACGCUUUGCUGCUGGUCCCCAAGGAGAAUUCCCUCAUCCUGGCUGGGGGAGACUGUCAGUUGCACACUAUGGACCUUGAAACUGGGACUUUCACGAGGGUCCUCCGGGGCCACACAGACUACAUCCAUUGCCUGGCACUGCGGGAAAGGAGCCCAGAGGUGCUGUCAGGUGGCGAGGAUGGAGCUGUUCGACUUUGGG